GGGGGUUUCUCACUGUAGGAAAUCAGAUAGGAUCUGGUUUCAUCAUGAAAAAAUAAAAGAAGGGGCGUCAAAUAUUUUUUUUGGGCAUGGGAAUUAAGAGGAGGCAACAAAAGGCAAGUAAGAGUCCAAAAUCUUUAGGACUCUUCACCCCGCCUCCUUACACGCCCAUAAAAGGAUUUUUAUUGUUUCUUUUGUGCGUGUAAGAGAUCAGUGAAGGAGUUCUCUAUGUUGAGGGGCUUUAGGGUGUGGUUCUUGGCAUGAAAAAGAGGAGGAGAGUCCUCUCUCUUUGGAUUAGCGCAAAAGCUGAAUUCUAGGGUUUCUUCCUUAGGAUUUAAGAAGAGAGAAAAAGAAAAGAAGAAAAUUAUUUUCUUUUUAAUCUUUUUUCUAUAUCUUCAUCUCCUUCAGA
rnacentral:lncRNA from 1 species